GAAAUGACUCUCGGCAACGGAUAUCUCGGCUCUUGCAUCGAUGAAGAACGUAGCGAAAUGCGAUACUUGGUGUGAAUUGCAGAAUCCCGCGAACCAUCGAGUGUUUGAACGCAAGUUGCGCCCGAAGCCAUUAGGCUGAGGGCACGCCUGCCUGGGUGUCG
rnacentral:rRNA from 1 species